UGUUCUAUCAGUAAAGAUCUUUUCAUCACGUGGUGGAUUUGACAGUGAAAUAGAUGAACUUCUGCUUUCCCUUGGUGUGCUGGCUGGGGUGAUGGCUGCAGUUUCUCUGGUUUUUUUUCUGGGUUCUGCUGUUCUAUCAGGAAAGUUCUUUUCACUACGUAGCAGAA